UGCGAAGGGGGCUAGCGUUGCUCGGAAUUACUGGGCGUAAAGGGCGCGUAGGCGGUUCGUUAAGUCCUGUGUGAAAUCCCCCGGCUCAACUGGGGAACUGCACAGGAAACUAGCGGGCUUGAGUUCGGGAGAGGGAAGCGGAAUUCCGGGUGUAGCGGUGAAAUGCGUAGAUAUCUGGAGGAACACCGGUGGCGAAGGCGGCAUCCUGGACCGGCAUUGACGCUGAGGAGCGAAAGCCAGGGGAGCAAACGGG
rnacentral:rRNA from 1 species